AACAGAGGGUGCAAGCGUUGUUCGGAAUUACUGGGCGUAAAGCGCGCGCAGGAGGCACGUUAAGUGAGGUGUGAAAUCCCCGGGCUCAACCUGGGGACGCCAUGUGUGACUGGGGGGCUAGAGCUUGGGAGAGGGGCUUCGAAUUCCCGGUGUAGCAGUGAAAUGCGUAGAGAUCGGCAGGAACACCAAGGGGGAAGGCAGGGGGCUGGGCGCAGGCUGACGCUGAGGCGCGAAAGCGUGGGGAGCAAACAGG
rnacentral:rRNA from 1 species